UUAAGCCAAGGACAUAGGCUCUUUUCUGAACAAGGGAACUCGCAUGUUCACCUAUCAUUACCAGAUGAUACCUCUGUUCAGAGUCGUCGUCCUGAAGUGGAGAAUGAAGAGAGCCAGGACACUUCACUUUUUACGGCUGCAAGAAAUGGUCAGACUGAUAUUGUAAGGUUGCUUAUAGAGAACGGAGCUGAUUUCAACAAAGGAG